UCGUCUAUUCACCGUUAGAUCUUUAUCAAAUGGCUUAGAAUCACACCGUUGUUCCUUUUCCUUUUACAAAAGCAUGCCGUCAUCUUAUUUUCCAUGUUGGUAAAUCAACCCACUCGUAGGCCCAUAACAAAAAACCUAUACACAAUGAUGGAGACAUCCCUUCAAUGAACAUCAACAAUAUCAUCCACCAACAACAGCAACAACAACAAGAGAAUGGAGGGAAGCUAUAGUUCUAUUGUUUAAGUGUUUUUCUUUUGGGUAAGUAAGUAAGUAAGUGAGUGCACGCAACAAAAACAAAAACGGUUGUAACUAACUUAAUGCAAAACCAAUUGCAAAUGCAAAUUUAGAGAGGUUGGGUUUUGUAACGGCUUUUGCGUUGCAUGCGGUAAUUGGUUGCAAAUUGCAAUGACGAAGUUGUUCAACGUUUCCACUGCAGCUACUAAUAUGGGUUUCAAUAUUUCUCAGGAAUUCUUCUUCUUCUUCUUCUUCAGCCACAAAUUCCAAGGUGUAUGUUUCUAUUUCUCUUCCCUUUUUUCUUAUUCUUCUUAGCUUCACAACAACAACACACCGAUAUCCAAUGAACUUUGUUUGAAUCUUUUUGGAAUCCGAUGAUCUUUUUUUGUUUGUGAGCUAGGUUGUUGUUUUGAUUUGUUAAUCUCAAAAUUCUUUCAUUCUUUUCUGCAUAUAAUAACUUCAUAUUCUUUUAUUGUUAUAUAAUUAUUACUAUUACUGCCACUCACAAUUACAUUCACAUUCACAAUUCACAGUAACAGAUUCAAUUCAUUCAUAUAUAGGAACACUUUUGUUUGAAUUUGUAAAGAAAGAAAAAACAAUACAGUUUGAUUGGAUUUGUUUUUGGAAUUUAUACAUUCAUCGGAUUCCUUUUUUUUAAUCGGACAUUAUUGAAAUUGAAACAAUUUUUUCACACACACACAUAGAUUGUUGUCAUCACACACUGCAUUUUCUCUCCUCUAACAUACACAUGUAAAUUGAGUUUUAGGGGAAACAAAAACAAAACCAAAAUUUCUUCCACAUUUGAUCAAAGUUAUUACUAGAAAGAGAGAGAGUAAAAUGUGAGGAUAGCAAAUGCUUGUCUUCUUUUUAAAAACUUAAUUGAUCUAGAAUUUUAAUUUGUGAGAAAAUAAGAGUCAUUCAAUCGAGUAUAGUAACACAAAAUUUAACAAGUUAAAUUAGUAGGAAAGAGUCAAUUUCAAAUAUCACCUUAUCAAAUGCAAGUCCUUUCACACAUAUUUUAUAGAUUUACUUCAAAUGCAAAUUUCAAAUGACAAUAUUUUAACAAACACAGAUACAUAAAUCAAAGUUCUUAUUAAAGUAAACUGAGUCGUUGUAGUUCUACAUCUUCUCUUCCUCUUACUAUUUGAAUAUUGAAGGAACCAAUAACACGUUAAUGUGCUUUGUGAAAAUGUACCCCUUGUUCAUAUACUCUAACAAUGUUAGAUCCCAAUCUAUUACAUCAAAAUUUCGGUUGUGAAAUGCAAAUACAUUAUAAUUACAGAUCAAAGAGAUAGACCUGCAUUUGCAAAGCACUACAAAAUAUUUAUUAGAAACCAGAAAUUAGGGUCCUAUACUACUCGUUUUUUUUAAUUGUUAUAAAUUUUCACCGUUACUCUUUACUUAUUAUUUGAUUUAUUUAUGAAUUAAUCAGGUUCAAACGAUGAAACUGAAGGCAUCACAAAGGGAAAUUGCUGAAUAUAUUAAGAAUAGUUGAUGUUUGUUGCCUCUGGUGUUGUGUGAUAGGCAAUUAUUAGUAGUACUUCGUUGUAGGAAGAAUUCCUUUAAAAAUAUGAGAAUAUUCUUUUUCAAAAAAGUCAAAUUGAGUUUUAACUUCUAUCUAUAAAAAUAAUGGGCGGUUAAACACAAAAUAGGUUUUUAAUUCUAAUAUAACCAACAAAUAAAAUGGUAACCGACACUACUAGUAAAAGGAAAACAACUUUACCUUGGUGACAAAUUUUAUACUUCCCUCACCUCAAUUUGAACUAUGAACCAUCCUUAUUAAGAUUGAAGCUUCCAUAGAAAUUGAAAUAAAUCAAAAUACCUCAAUUUUAUACUUCCCACAUUUUUAUCUUCUAUUUAAUGUAUUUUGUUUUAUAUUAUUAAUAUAAUUAUUGUAGCAUAAGUUGAGACACUGACCUAUAAUGUUGUGGAUAGUUCCUACCAUUGUCAAACUCAAAUGUAACUAAAUCUUAGAUUGGAUGCGACUCUCAUAUUCUCACAAUCAAAACUCUAGAUCAAGUGAGUUUGUUUGUUUAAAAAGAGGUAAACAUUUGCUCACGGGUGGUCACAUGUUUCACUAGCUCCGUGAUGGUAACAUUGUCCCAUUCAUUAUUGCAUAUAAUAGCAUCAUUUUUUGCUUUGGCAUUGCAUUGAUAGGCUCAUUUACAUGUAGUAUCUCUUUUGUCUUUAUUUUACUUGAUAGACCAUUUUACGUGCAAAGAGUGCUCAUAACAUUUGAAAUACUGUUCAAAGAGAUUUUUAUUGAUAAUUUAGAUGAUUCAACAAAUUCAUCUAAUUUCUCUCAUUUUGUAACCCUAACCUCCCGCGAGAAAGAUCAAAAUCAUCUCUACCUCGACACUUCUUCAUGGAACAAGCACAUGAACCCUAACCGCAGUUAAAGAAGUGAAUGAAGUCAUGGAAAGACAAGUGGAAGACUCCCUCUCGAUUUUUCCUCAUUAAGCGAUUCUUAUUGUAGUCACUGCAACACUUUCAUCAUAAGUUCAAACUCGUCAAUGUUGGAGCCAGUGCAGGUCCUAUGGGAGUACCAGUAUUUAAUCCAGGGUUCCAGCACAGAAGACACGUCCAACUCACUUGGUUGUGCAGGCGUGUUUCCAAAGCCACAAAGUACAUCCAAAUCAUGACGCUAUACUCACUCCAUAUAGAAGAUCAAUUUAGUUCUCCUCAUUCAAAUGCUAAAGUAUGGUUGUUAAUCUCAAGAAUUUGUGUUGAUACCGAAUCUGUUGUGAUGUUAUUGUCAUUGAAUGUCAUCGUGAAAGGUAUUAUAGAUGAAGUUGAUUUGAGUCAUUAUACAUUAACAAAAGAUGAGAUUUCAUCCAAAGAAUAAUAUGAGAUUUUAGAGUGGAGUUGCCCUUAGAAUGAUUAUACAGUGGUUGGAUGACAUAGCAUCAUCUUUUCAAGCAGUAGUCAAAGAAAAUUAUCGGGCACAUUAUUCCUUAAAGAAGAAAAUUGAUCUUGAUAAACGUUUUGUGAACUGAUUAAGGUGCACUCCCUCUAUCGUGUAUACUUUACCUCUUUUCUUCGUGAUUGAAUAGAUGAAAAAAUUUGCAUCUUAAAUGCUCGAAAUUUAAAAUAACAUUUGUGUUUAAUGACAUUAUUAACUUGGUAGAAGGAAAUAGUUUGAUAUUUCAAGAAUUUAAUUAUUAUUUUUCCUUGUAUAAUUACUUGUACAAUUACUGUAUCCUAUCAAAAAAAUUGAAGAUUUGUGGUUUGGCCCAUGGAGAUGCAUCUUUUUGGGGAAUUAUUAAAUUGCAAAAAGAUUGACUCGAUACUUCAAAGGGUUGUAAAUCAUAUAAGAAAUGAUUGCAACUUGAAGAGCUUUUGAAAUUUUCCUUGCCUGCUACAACACUCGGUUUCAAAGGUGUGCUUAGAGAAGCCUUGUUACAUAGCUGGAGUGGGCUAUGUUGCCAAAACCCAGAGUGCCAUACUCCGAAAUGCACUUGAUAAGAGUGCAUAUAAAGCCGCAGAAGAAAUUUAGAGAUUUCAACCUGGAUGUGAACAGAAAACCUGUAAUUCUUGUUUUAGAUUUUGAGGUUCAGGUGUUGAAGAAAUUAUAAGGUUAUGUUUCACAUAUAUAUCUAUAUAUAUAGUAGAAAUGGAGCUAUAUAUAUAUCUUUCACGAUGACAUUCAAUGACAAUAACAUCACAACAGAUUCGGUAUCAACACAAAUUCUUGAGAUUAACAACCAUACUUUAGCAUUUGAAUGAGGAGAACUAACUUGAUCUUCUAUAUGGAGUGAGUAUAGCGUCAUGAUUUGGAUGUACUUUGUGGCUUUGGAAACACGCCUGCACAACUAUGAGAAUAUUGCUUUAGGCUUUAGCUAUAUAUCAUCUGUGAUUUUGUUUUAAUAUAAAGAAAGAACAACUCUUAUCAAAGUGAGUUGGAUGUGUGCUAUGUGCUAGAAUGUUUUAAUAUGAAGAAAGAACAACUAUUACCCAAGUG